GAAUGAGCCAGAGGCAGAGAGGAGGCAGAAGAGGAGCAGCCCUCCUCCUGAAUCUUCAUCCCGGGGAAGACAGAAGAUAGAGCUGGUCCGACCUCAGCGGUCCUGAAGUUAAAGCCAUCCGAGAUGAGCUCAAAAGAACACGGUGUACUAAGAGUGUUACCUGUGACCGAAGCUGAAGAAGACUGGCUGUCCUGAACAUGCAGGGUCCUUCAGGAGUUGCUGCGGAGACCUGUGUCAGCCGGAGCUGCGGCCGUGACGUUCUGCAGACACGAGUUUCACCAAACAUACAAAAAAAUACAGGAAAAGUACACAAUAGCACACCCUACUUGUAUAUUUACAGAAACUUUCUGCCUCUAGUUUAAAAAAACAAAACUUUUUAACCUUGUGCAGCUCAGAUUACUAAUUAGGAGCAGUUUAAAAACACGUUUUUGUGGUUUUCAGAGACAAAUGAACGAGUAAAAAAAAACCCGCUGAGCUAAUUACGGUCAAAUUUUAGCAAAUUCAUAUUAAAGAUGAAACAAUUAAACAAAUCAAGAAAACUUUUAAAGACUUUCUUUUGAAAUGAAUUCAGUAGUUAUAACUCAGAAGAAAGACGUUCUUAAUAAAUCGUUUAUCAUUACCGGUAGUUCUGUUGGUUGAUUACACUGACCACACUCCUCAUUAUUAUCUUGAGUCUCACCUUUUCAUUAGCACGAAUAAGUCGUUCAUUCAUAUUUUAAGAACUGAUCAAUCUUUGUGGCCUGUUCUGUGAAAUAUCACCAGAAUGUUUUACUUACAGUAAUUUAUUGCACCCACAUGACUGCGGACGUUAUGCGAGGAGUGGCAUUUACUCUAAAAGCAAUGAGUAAAUGAGGAGCGCUCGCAACAAACU